rnacentral:rRNA from 1 species
AUUUCCUAGCUUAACUAGGGCACUGCCCAUGAUACUGUUUAACUUGAAUAGUAUGGAAGUAACUAGAAUAUGUAGUGUAGCGGUGAAAUGCUUAGAUAUUACAUGGAAUACCAAUUGCGAAGGCAGGUUACUACGUACUUAUUGACGCUGAUGAACGAAAGCGUGGGGAGCGAACAGGAUUAGAUACCCUGGUAGUCCACGCCGUAAACGAUGGAUACUAGCUGUUCGGUCUUCGGAUUGAGUGGCUAAGCGAAAGUGAUAA